UACGUAGGGGGCAAGCGGUUGUCCGGAUUUAUUGGGCGUAAAGAGCGUGUAGGCGGUUCGGUAGGUCCGUUGUGAAAACUCGAGCUCAACCAUCGAGACGCCGAUGGAAACCCCCGAACCUACGAAGUCCGGAAGAGGAGAAUGGAAUUCCUGGUGUAGCGGUGAAAUGCGCAGAUAUCAGGAAGAACACCCGUGGCUAAGGCGGGUCUCUGGGCCGAAACUGACGCUGGAGGAGCGAAAGCGUGGGGAGCAAACAGG
rnacentral:rRNA from 1 species